UACGGAGGAUGCAAGCGUUAUCCGGAAUGAUUGGGCGUAAAGCGUCCGCAGGUGGCUGUGUAAGUCUGCUGUCAAAGAGCGAAGCUCAACUUCGUAAAGGCAGUGGAAACUACACGGCUAGAGUGCGUUCGGGGCAGAGGGAAUUCCUGGUGUAGCGGUGAAAUGCGUAGAGAUCAGGAAGAACACUGGUGGCGAAGGCGCUCUGCUAGGCCGCAACUGACACUGAGGGACGAAAGCUAGGGGAGCGAAUGGG
rnacentral:rRNA from 1 species